GACGUUUUCUGCUAGCGAGUGUGUGUGUCAGGCUUCAAGGUAAAUGGCUGCUGAGGUUUUACAGCAUAUUGUAUAUUUGCUGAACCAUUUGAUCAACAGCUUUAAAGAAAACUGGUAAUGUGACACCAUUGUGCUCAGACCCCCUGGUAUUUGAAGGCCCCAUGUAAAGGAUACCAGUCAGACGCUGUUGCAGGCACACAGAAAAAGAUCAGAAACAAAGUGAAAAACAAGGUCAAAAUACCUCCAACUGAUACACCGAAUUCCUGCAGACACAUCAACUAGUGCCACCCAGUGGAACGGGGAAGCGUUGUUCAAUCCAGAGGAAUCUUUCAAAAAGAAUUAACUUUUUAAGUGAGACAACUAUUUGGCAACUGGCGUUGGAGACAGAGAUGUAAGAUGAACAGAAGAGCCACAGCAACCCUUAGGCAGCCAGAGAUGUUACAGGAAGAUUAGAUGACAUGAUAAAAGCUGGUAUGCACUUGGAUUUACUGCCUUUUGCUGGCAAAUAUUACUCUCAUGUGGUCUGCUGUGCUGUCCCAUCCGAUAUGUCACACAGGAAGACAAAAGAGUCACAUCCUCAGCUACUAUAAAUAAAUGUGUCUCCAUUUACUUCACUGGAGCUAUUGUUUGCACUGUCUGAGGAGCGGCCCAGAACUGUCAUCUAAAAGCCCUUUGAACUGCCCAGUAGGGCUAAUAUUGCAAAGACUGAGUGUGAA